rnacentral:rRNA from 1 species
AGUCAUAUGCUUGUCUCAAAGAUUAAGCCAUGCAUGUCUAAGUAUAAGCAAUUAUACCGUGAAACUGCGAAUGGCUCAUUAAAUCAGUUAUCGUUUAUUUGAUAAUACCUUACUACUUGGAUAACCGUGGUAAUUCUAGAGCUAAUACAUGCUGAAAAUCCCGACUUCGGAAGGGAUGUGUUUAUUAGAUAAAAAACCAAUGCCCUUCGGGGCUCUUUGGUGAUUCAUGAUAACUUUACGGAUCGCAUAGCCUUGCGCUGGCGACGGUUCAUUCAAAUUUCUGCCCUAUCAACUUUCGAUGGUAAGGUAUUGGCUUACCAUGGUUUCAACGGGUAACGGGGAAUUAGGGUUCGAUUCCGGAGAGGGAGCCUGAGAAACGGCUACCACAUCCAAGGAAGGCAGCAGGCGCGCAAAUUACCCAAUCCCGACACGGGGAGGUAGUGACAAUAAAUACUGAUACAGGGCUCUUUUGGGUCUUGUAAUUGGAAUGAGUACAAUUUAAACCUCUUAACGAGGAACAAUUGGAGGGCAAGUCUGGUGGACAUUCAGCUCCCAUUCUGCUGACGCCAGAGAUAGUCAGGCAAUUCGAGAGAAUUGUUAUGCUGGCUAGUCGAUGUACCUACUGUUAUGAUGGGCAGGUACCGGCGAGACAACCUGGAUCGGGGAAGGCUAAGGUGCUCACGCGCUAUGCUAAUCCCGAGCAGAGCUGCCAUAGGGAGACCUUUGGUAUAGCCUGUGUAGAGCACGGAAAGGUGUCGGCUAACACACGUAGUUAGCUUAAGGGACGUGCCAUUCCCACUUGAAAGAGUGGCUGUCAACAAUAGCGCCCAUCACGCGAAGGUUGGCAGGUUUGAACAUGCUCCAUGUUCAAGCGUUCAUCAAGGCCAGCAGCCGCGGUAAUUCCAGCUCCAAUAGCGUAUAUUAAAGUUGUUGCAGUUAAAAAGCUCGUAGUUGAAACUUGGGCCUGGCUGGCGGGUCCGCCUCACCGCGUGCACUCGUCCGGCCGGGCCUUCCUUCUGAAGAACCUCAUGCCCUUCACUGGGCGUGUUGGGGAAUCAGGACUUUUACUUUGAAAAAAUUAGAGUGUUCAAAGCAGGCCUUUGCUCGAAUACGUUAGCAUGGAAUAAUAAAAUAGGGCGUGCGUUUCUAUUUUGUUGGUUUCUAGAGACGCCGCAAUGAUUAACAGGAACAGUCGGGGGCAUCAGUAUUCAGUUGUCAGAGGUGAAAUUCUUGGAUUUACUGAAGACUAACUACUGCGAAAGCAUUUGCCAAGGAUGUUUUCAUUAAUCAGUGAACGAAAGUUAGGGGAUCGAAGACGAUCAGAUACCGUCGUAGUCUUAACCGUAAACUAUGCCGACUAGGGAUCGGGCGAUGUUCUUUUUGUGACUCGCUCGGCACCUUACGAGAAAUCAAAGUUUUUGGGUUCUGGGGGGAUUAUGGUCGCAAGGCUGAAACUUAAAGAAAUUGACGGAAGGUCACCACCAGGCGUGGAGCCUGCGGCUUAAUUUGACUCAACACGGGGAAACUCACCAGGUCCAGAUGAAAUAAGGAUUGACAGAUUGAGAGCUCUUUCUUGAUUUUUCAGGUGGUGGUGCAUGGCCGUUCUUAGUUCGUGGGGUGACUUGUCUGCUUAAUUGCGAUAACGAGCGAGACCUUACUCUGCUAAAUAGCCAGGCUAGCUUUGGCUGGUCGCCGGCUUCUUAGAGAGACUAUCAACUCAAGUUGAUGGAAGUUUGAGGCAAUAACAGGUUAACCUACACAGGCCUGUAACAGUGGGCCUCAUUAAAGAUAACUGCUAGUCUAGCGUCUUGACCUUCUUUGGGGAAGUCCCCUACUGUCGGGAGAAGGCAAGCCCCUCUUGGGGGGGGGGGGG